rnacentral:lncRNA from 1 species
CUUAAAUCUAAUGCUUGUUCGUUCUCUCUGAACUGGGUUACAUGAAGGAGGGUGCACACUGGCUUCCAACUGGGCUGACCGGGGUGGUGAGAGUUACCCCAACCUCAUGGGUGAAGGAAUAAAGCGAAAACCACUGAAUUGGAUUUUUUGGGGGCCCUCUCUGAGCAGUGUUUCCCCCAGCAGAUGAAAAGUGCAUUUAUAAGCAAAAGUUAAGGGCCUCCUGUGCUACGUUGGGAU